rnacentral:rRNA from 1 species
CCGCGGUAAUUCCAGCUCCAAUAGCGUAUAUUAAAGUUGUUGCAGUUAAAAAGCUCGUAGUUGAAGUUCUGAUUGCUCAGGUUUCCAGCCUUAGGCGGAGAUACUGACAGUCAUCCGCUUGCAAACAUAUGUUCGAUCUUCACCGGUUGGCUAUGUGAGUAAGCACUUUACCUUGAGAAAAACAGAGUGUUCCAGGCAGGUUUGUCCGGGAUGCAUUAGCAUGGAAUAAUAGAACAUGACUGAAGUCGAUUUAUUGGUUUAAGGCUUUAGUAAUGAUUAAUAGGAACAGUCGGGGGCAUUCGUACUCAGCAGUCAGAGGUGAAAUUCUAAGAUUUGCUGAAGACGAACUAAUGCGAAAGCAUUUGCCAAGGAUGUUUUCAUUAAUCAAGAACGAAAGUUAGGGGAUCAAAGACGAUCAGAUACCGUCCUAGUCUUAACUAUAAACUAUGCCGACUCGGAUUCAGAUGAAUCAAAAUGUUCAUUUGGGACCGUAGGAGAAAUCAAAGUCUUUGGGUUCUGGGGG